rnacentral:rRNA from 1 species
GGUUAAGCGACUAAGCGUACACGGUGGAUGCCCUGGCAGUCAGAGGCGAUGAAGGACGUGCUAAUCUGCGAUAAGCGUCGGUGAGGUGAUAUGAACCGUUAUAACCGGCGAUUUCCGAAUGGGGAAACCCAGUGUGUUUCGACACACUAUCAUUAACUGAAUCCAUAGGUUAAUGAGGCGAACCGGGGGAACUGAAACAUCUAAGUACCCCGAGGAAAAGAAAUCAACCGAGAUUCCCCCAGUAGCGGCGAGCGAACGGGGAGGAGCCCAGAGCCUGAAUCAGUGUGUGUGUUAGUGGAAGCGUCUGGAAAGGCGUGCGAUACAGGGUGACAGCCCCGUACACAAAAAUGCACAUAUUGUGAGCUCGAUGAGUAGGGCGGGACACGUGGUAUCCUGUCUGAAUAUGGGGGGACCAUCCUCCAAGGCUAAAUACUCCUGACUGACCGAUAGUGAACCAGUACCGUGAGGGAAAGGCGAAAAGAACCCCGGCGAGGGGAGUGAAAAAGAACCUGAAACCGUGUACGUACAAGCAGUGGGAGCCUCUUAAUGGGGUGACUGCGUACCUUUUGUAUAAUGGGUCAGCGACUUAUAUUCUGUAGCAAGGUUAACCGAAUAGGGGAGCCGAAGGGAAACCGAGUCUUAACUGGGCGUUAAGUUGCAGGGUAUAGACCCGAAACCCGGUGAUCUAGCCAUGGGCAGGUUGAAGGUUGGGUAACACUAACUGGAGGACCGAACCGACUAAUGUUGAAAAAUUAGCGGAUGACUUGUGGCUGGGGGUGAAAGGCCAAUCAAACCGGGAGAUAGCUGGUUCUCCCCGAAAGCUAUUUAGGUAGCGCCUCGUGAAUUCAUCUCCGGGGGUAGAGCACUGUUU